GACGAACGCUGGCGGCGUGCUUAACACAUGCUAGUCGAACGAUGAAGCCGGAGCUUGCUCUGGUGAAUUAGUGGCGAACGGGUGAGUAACACGUGAGUAACCUGCCCUUGACUCUGGGAUAACUGCGGGAAACUGUAGCUAAUACCGGAUACGACCCUCGGAGGCAUCUCCUGGGGGUGGAAAGAAUUUCGGUCAAGGAUGGACUCGCGGCCUAUCAGCUAGUUGGUGAGGUAAAGGCUCACCAAGGCGACGACGGGUAGCCGGCCUGAGAGGGUGACCGGCCACACUGGGACUGAGACACGGCCCAGACUCCUACGGGAGGCAGCAGUGGGGAAUAUUGCACAAUGGGCGCAAGCCUGAUGCAGCAACGCCGCGUGAGGGAUGACGGCCUUCGGGUUGUAAAGCUCUUUCAGUGGGGACGAUAAUGACGGUACCCGCAGAAGAAGCCCCGGCUAACUUCGUGCCAGCAGCCGCAGUAA
rnacentral:rRNA from 1 species